AUGAACGCUGGCGGCGUGCCUAAUACAUGCAAGUCGAGCGAACAGACGAGGAGCUUGCUCCUCUGACGUUAGCGGCGGACGGGUGAGUAACCCGUGGAUAACCUACCUAUAAGACUGGGAUAACUUCGGGAAACCGGAGCUAAUACCGGAUAAUAUAUUGAACCGCAUGGUUCAAUAGUGAAAGACGGUUUUGCUGUCACUUAUAGAUGGAUCCGCGCCGCAUUAGCUAGUUGGUAAGGUAACGGCUUACCAAGGCGACGAUGCGUAGCCGACCUGAGAGGGUGAUCGGCCACACUGGAACUGAGACACGGUCCAGACUCCUACGGGAGGCAGCAGUAGGGAAUCUUCCGCAAUGGGCGAAAGCUUGACGGAGCAACGCCGCGUGAGUGAUGAAGGUCUUCGGAUCGUAAAACUCUGUUAUUAGGGAAGAACAAAUGUGUAAGUAACUAUGCACGUCUUGACGGUACCUAAUCAGAAAGCCACGGCUAACUACGUG
rnacentral:rRNA from 1 species